rnacentral:rRNA from 1 species
GGGAGAGGGGCGCACGGGUGCGGAACACGUGUGCAACCUGCCUUUAUCUGGGGGAUAGCCUUUCGAAAGGAAGAUUAAUACCCCAUAAUAUAUUGAUUGGCAUCGAUUAAUAUUGAAAACUCCGGUGGAUAAAGAUGGGCACGCGCAAGAUUAGAUAGUUGGUGAGGUAACGGCUCACCAAGUCAAUGAUCUUUAGGGGGCCUGAGAGGGUGAUCCCCCACACUGGUACUGAGACACGGACCAGACUCCUACGGGAGGCAGCAGUGAGGAAUAUUGGACAAUGGGUGAGAGCCUGAUCCAGCCAUCCCGCGUGAAGGACGACGGACCUAUGGUUUGUAAACUUCUUUUGUGCAAGAAUAAACCCAGAUACGUGUAUUUGGCUGAAGGUAUUGUACGAAUAAGCACCGGCUAACUCCGUGCCAGCAGCCGCGGUAAUAGGGAGGGUGCGAGCGAUAUCCGGAUUUAUUGGGUUUAUAGGGUCCGCAGGCGGGCUUGUAAGUCAGUGGUGAAAGCCUACAGCUUAACUGUAGAACUGCCAUUGAUACUGCGAGUCUUGAGUA